rnacentral:rRNA from 1 species
UACGAAGGGGGCUAGCGUUGCUCGGAUUGACUGGGCGUAAAGGGCGCGUAGGCGGUUUGUACAGUCAGACGUGAAAUUCCCGGGCUCAACCUGGGGCUGCGUUUGAUACGUGCAGACUUGAGUUCGGAAGAGGGUCGUGGAAUUCCCAGUGUAGAGGUGAAAUUCGUAGAUAUUGGGAAGAACACCGGUGGCGAAGGCGGCGACCUGGUCCGAUACUGACGCUGAGGCGCGAAAGCGUGGGAGCAAACAGG